GACGCACUUGCCUACAUUCGUAACCCCACCUAUCAGUUAGACCCAUCGGAGUCAUCCGAUGGAUUUUCUUACGGGAACUAUACCCUACAAUGUGAUUGUUCGCACAUACCUAAAAAAGUCACGACUACCGCCCCCACAACACCGCCACCAGUACAAUUCGGCCCUCGUCACCCCAUGGCGAAAUUCUGCGGCAAAAAAGACUGCAGUCAAAAGCCGUAAACGCCGCAUGGUAGGACGAGCAAUUUCGACGACACUAAGCAUUUGAAUGGAUUUGGAGGAUGUGAAAUCAGGAUAUUAUAUUUUUUUAUUAUGGGUGAGGUGCUUAUGAAGUGCUGUGAUCUGUACACAGAUAAUUGAUAGACUGAAAAGAAUGCUAGGGCAUACCCUAGCAUUAACCUUACCUAACCUUAAACACCAUAGUGUUUCUUAAAAAGGUGGUGGUGGUAAAUUGGAUAGUGAACAGGGAAAAUAAUU